rnacentral:rRNA from 1 species
CUAAGAAUCUUGCGCAAUGGGCGAAAGCCUGACGCAGCAACGCCGCGUGGGGGACGAAGGCCCUCGGGUCGUAAACCCCUUUUACGAGGGAAGAAGUUCUGACGGUACCUCGUGAAUAAGCCACGGCUAACUACGUGCCAGCAGCCGCGGUAAUACGUAGGUGGCAAGCGUUGUCCGGAUUUAUUGGGCGUAAAGCGCCCGCAGGCGGCCCGAUUAGUUUCAGGUGAAAUCUCCCGGCUCAACUGGGAGG